GAUGAACGCUGGCGGCGUGCCUAAUACAUGCAAGUCGAGCGAACAGACGAGGAGCUUGCUCCUUCGACGUUAGCGGCGGACGGGUGAGUAACACGUAGGUAACCUACCUAUAAGACUGGGAUAACUUCGGGAAACCGGAGCUAAUACCGGAUAAUAUUUCGAACCGCAUGGUUCGAUAGUGAAAGAUGGCUUUGCUAUCACUUAUAGAUGGACCUGCGCCGUAUUAGCUAGUUGGUAAGGUAACGGCUUACCAAGGCAACGAUACGUAGCCGACCUGAGAGGGUGAUCGGCCACACUGGAACUGAGACACGGUCCAGACUCCUACGGGAGGCAGCAGUAGGGAAUCUUCCGCAAUGGGCGAAAGCCUGACGGAGCAACGCCGCGUGAGUGAUGAAGGUCUUCGGAUCGUAAAACUCUGUUAUUAGGGAAGAACAAACGUGUAAGUAACUGUGCACGUCUUGACGGUACCUAAUCAGAAAGCCACGGCUAACUACGUGCCAGCAGCCGCCGUAAGAC
rnacentral:rRNA from 1 species